rnacentral:rRNA from 1 species
CACGUAGGAGGCGAGCGUUAUUCGGAUUUACUGGGCGUAAAGCGCGUGCAGGCGGCUCUUUAAGUUGGAUGUGAAAGCUCCUGGCUUAACUGGGAGAGGACGUUCAAAACUGAAGAGCUUGAGUAUGAGAGAGGAAAAUGGAAUUCCGGGUGUAGUGGUGAAAUGCGUAGAUAUCCGGAGGAACACCAGUGGCGAAGGCGAUUUUCUGGCUCAAGACUGACGCUCAGACGCGAAAGCUAGGGUAGCAAACGGGAUUAGAGACCCCGGUAGUCCUAGCUGUAAACGAUGUAGACUAGGCGUUGGUGGAGUAAAAUCCAUCAGUGCCGGAGCAAACGCGAUAAGUCUACCGCCUGGGGACUACGGCCGCAAGGUUAAA